rnacentral:rRNA from 1 species
CAUAAGUAAGUAUCCUGUUGUGAAUACAUAGCAACAGGAGGCAAACCGGGGGAACUGAAACAUCUAAGUACCCCGAGGAAGAGAAAUCAACCGAGAUUCCGAAAGUAGCGGCGAGCGAAAUUGGAUUAGCCCUUAAGCUUUUAAUGAUGCAGGUGAAGAGUCUGGAAAGUCUCGCAAUAAAGGGUGAUAGCCCCGUAACCGACACAUCAUAAUCAGUGAAAACGA